UACGGAGGGUGCAAGCGUUAUCCGGAUUUACUGGGUUUAAAGGGUGCGUAGGCGGAUAUUUAAGUCAGCGGUGAAAUCUCCAGGCUUAACCUGGAAAUUGCCAUUGAUACUAUUUAUCUUGAAUUAUCUGGAGGUGAGCGGAAUAUGUCAUGUAGCGGUGAAAUGCUUAGAUAUGACAUAGAACACCAAUUGCGAAGGCAGCUUGCUACACGGAUAUUGACUCUGAGGCACGAAAGCGUGGGGAGCAAACAGG
rnacentral:rRNA from 1 species